UUUGAUCAUGGCUCAGAUUGAACGCUGGCGGCAUGCCUUACAACAUGCAAGUCGAACGGCAGCACGGGGGCAACCCUGGUGGCGAGUGGCGAACGGGUGAGUAAUACAUCGGAACGUGUCCUGUAGUGGGGGAUAGCCCGGCGAAAGCCGGAUUAAUACCGCAUACGCUCUACGGAGGAAAGGGGGGGAUCUUAGGACCUCUCGCUACAGGGGCGGCCGAUGGCAGAUUAGCUAGUUGGUGGGGUAAAGGCCUACCAAGGCGACGAUCUGUAGCUGGUCUGAGAGGACGACCAGCCACACUGGGACUGAGACACGGCCCAGACUCCUACGGGAGGCAGCAGUGGGGAAUUUUGGACAAUGGGCGCAAGCCUGAUCCAGCAAUGCCGCGUGUGUGAAGAAGGCCUUCGGGUUGUAAAGCACUUUUGUCCGGAAAGAAAACUUCCUGGUUAAUACC
rnacentral:rRNA from 1 species